GACGAACGCUGGCGGCGUGCUUAACACAUGCAAGUCGAACGGAAAGGCCCUGCUUUUGUGGGGUGCUCGAGUGGCGAACGGGUGAGUAACACGUGAGUAACCUGCCCUUGACUUUGGGAUAACUUCAGGAAACUGGGGCUAAUACCGGAUAGGAGCUCCUGCUGCAUGGUGGGGGUUGGAAAGUUUCGGCGGUUGGGGAUGGACUCGCGGCUUAUCAGCUUGUUGGUGGGGUAGUGGCUUACCAAGGCUUUGACGGGUAGCCGGCCUGAGGGGGUGACCGGCCACAUUGGGACUGAGAUACGGCCCAGACUCCUAUGGGAGGCAGCAGUGGGGAAUAUUGCACAAUGGGCGGAAGCCUGAUGCAGCAACGCCGCGUGCGGGAUGACGGCCUUCGGGUUGUAAACCGCUUUCGCCUGUGACGAAGCGUGAGUGACGGUAAUGGGUAAAGAAGCACCGGCUAACUACGUG
rnacentral:rRNA from 1 species